rnacentral:rRNA from 1 species
CUGGCGGCGUGCCUAACACAUGCAAGUCGAACGAAGUAGCAAUACUUAGUGGCAAACGGGUGAGUAACACGUAGUCAACCUACCUUUAAGUGGGGGAUAACUAGCCGAAAGGUUAGCUAAUACCGCAUGUGAUCUUCGAGUGGCAUCACUUGACGAUCAAAGCAGCAAUGCGCUUAGAGACGGGACUGCGUCCCAUUAGCUAGUUGGUGGGGUAAUGGCCUACCAAGGCUCCGAUGGGUAGCCGGCUUGAGAGAGCGACCAGCCACACUGGAACUGAGACACGGUCCAGACUCCUACGGGAGGCAGCAGUGAGGAAUUUUCCGCAAUGGGGGCAACCCUGACGGAGCGACGCCGCGUGUGGGAAGAAGGCCUUCGGGUCGUAAACCACUGUCGAAGGGGACGAUAUUGACGGUACCCUUGGAGGAAGCCCCGGCUAACUACGUGCCAGCAGCCGCGGUAAGACGUANGGGGCAAGCGUUGUCCGGAAUCAUUGGGCGUAAAGCGCUCGUAGGCGGAUCUUUAAGUCUGUGAAGAAAGACCUGNGCUCAACUCA